UACAGAGGUCCCGAGCGUUGUUCGGAUUUAUUGGGCGUAAAGGGUGCGUAGGCGGCGCGGUAAGUCGGGUGUGAAAUCUCGGAGCUUAACUCCGAAACUGCAUUCGAUACUGCCGUGCUUGAGGACUGGAGAGGAGACUGGAAUUUACGGUGUAGCGGUGAAAUGCGUAGAUAUCGUAAGGAAGACCAGUGGCGAAGGCGGGUCUCUGGACAGUUCCUGACGCUGAGGCACGAAGGUCAGGGGAGCAAACGGG
rnacentral:rRNA from 1 species